rnacentral:rRNA from 1 species
AUUGAACGCUGGCGGCGCGCCUAAUACAUGCAAGUCGAGCGAGAAGACGUAGCAAUACGUUUGUAAAGCGGCGAACGGGUGAGGAAUACAUGGGUAACCUACCCUCGAGUGGGGAAUAACUAGCCGAAAGGUUAGCUAAUACCGCGUACGCUCCUUGGACUUCGGUUCAGGGAGGAAAGCGAUACCGUGGGUAUCGCGCUCUUGGAUGGGCUCAUGUCCUAUCAGCUUGUUGGCGAGGUAACGGCUCACCAAGGCUUCGACGGGUAGCUGGUCUGAGAGGACGAUCAGCCACACUGGCACUGCGACACGGGCCAGACUCCUACGGGAGGCAGCAGUAAGGAAUAUUGCGCAAUGGGCGAAAGCCUGACGCAGCGACGCCGCGUGUGGGGAGGAAGCCC